AAUUGAGAGAAAUCAGAGGUGAAAUAGAGAAUUUGAGAGAGAAGAAGGUAGAGUGCAGGGAGAGGAACAAACCUGAAUCAUAGGAAAGACCAGCGUGAAGCCCGUAGGAGGAUUUCUCUUUUUUCUCGAUAAGCAAAACUUCAGCCCGGAGCCUUUCUUCUGCUGCACCUGAACACGAAAACAGAGCUAGCACCAAAGUGUCAGGAUUGAUGGGCACUCGCGGUUUUGCACGUGGG